UUCCCGUGUUUACAUUGGACAAGACAGCAUCGUUUUGUCCAAUGUUUACGUUUCUACAUUUCGACUAUUCCAACAUGCUCUAUCAUUCCACUCGUACUUCGUGCAGAACGUGUAUUAUCGCGUUUUGACAUACGUUUUGAAUAUUGGUUUUUUAUGUUUUUUAUGACGUUAGAGGUCUUUCCCCUCAUUAAUUAUGUUCUUCAGGUAAUUCUUACACUUAAAUAGUACCACUUCGAUCUCGUGAGCUGGACAGAACGAGCACCCCAGAAACGUACACAGCACCAGCCUUUCCAAUGAAACACGAAUAUACGCGAAUGAAGAUAAAAUGAACCUCAAAAUCCAACUGUCUCAACCGAAUAUAAACAUUGGAAUGAGUGUCAGGAACAACAGUUUACUUUGAGCGAACUCAUCGAUCGCUGUAGAAAUGAAUCCUGUGAAUCCCUGAAAAAAAAUUCUAAUCAGGUCGUUGAAAAGUUCGAGAAUAUCCAAGGAAGUCUGUGCCAUCCAAUAAAAAAUUUAAUACUUUGUAUCGGCGUUAUUUUCGUGCUGGUGACUCCAGCUUGAUAAAUUUGUAUUACAAAUAUCUGUCAAAUGCACGGAGAUGAUCAAAUUUGAAAAAUUACCGUCGAUAGGAACUGUUACCGGGGUAUUUAGUAAAUUUUAACCUCACAAUGAAUUUUACGGCGCUGCACUCUACAAGUUUCCGUACGAAUAUUUAUGCUGGGAUGCAGCCACACACUGAGGACAUGCUAGAGAAGCAGCCAAAGGAAGAGCUGGAGUUUCAUCGAAUAAUCAAACUGAAGUUUCAAGAUCGUAGAACGUUUCUCUAUUUCUCUUGACUUGGGUAACGUUUACCAAAAUAACAUAGUCACAUCCUGGUAAGUCAUUCGAGAUAUUCAUCUCUGCCUCGCGCAUGUCAUCCCACGUCAUCGACUCUAAACGCUGAACACGGCGCUUUUAGCUAUUCCGAAACGACAAUGCCACAAAUUUGUUAACAAGAGCAAGUGAGCUAAAAUUCCUUGGACGAUGAAGAAAUAAAAACUGAG